rnacentral:rRNA from 1 species
UACGUAGGGCGCAAGCGUUAUCCGGAAUUAUUGGGCGUAAAGAGCUCGUAGGCGGCUUGUCGCGUCGGAUGUGAAAGCCCGGGGCUUAACUCCGGGUCUGCAUUCGAUACGGGCAGGCUAGAGUUCGGUAGGGGAGAUCGGAAUUCCUGGUGUAGUGGUGAAAUGCGCAGAUAUCAGGAGGAACACCGGUGGCGAAGGCGGAUCUCUGGGCCGAUACUGACGCUGAGGAGCGAAAGCGUGGGGAGCGAACAGG